rnacentral:rRNA from 1 species
UACAACGAUCAUACCAGCACUAAUGCAUCGGAUCCCAUCAGAACUCUGAAGUUAAGCGCGCUUGGGCGAGAAUAGUACUAAUAUGGGCUUUGUCACAGGAC